rnacentral:rRNA from 1 species
UACCCCUAGCAAAUCUCAAAAAACCGUCUCAGUUCGGAUUGUACUCUGCAACUCGAGUGCAUGAAGGUGGAAUCGCUAGUAAUCGCAGAUCAGCACGCUGCGGUGAAUACGUUCCCGGGCCUUGUACACACCGCCCGUCACACCAUGGGAGUUGGCUUUACCCGAAGGCGUUUCGCUAACCGCAAGGAGGCAGGCGACCACGGUAGGGUCAGCGACUGGGGUGAAG